UACGGGGGGAGCAAGCGUUGUUCGGAUUUACUGGGCGUAAAGGGCGCGUAGGCGGCGCAACAAGUCACUUGUGAAAUCUCCGGGCUUAACUCGGAGCGGCCAAGUGAUACUGUCGUGCUAGAGUGCGGAAGGGGCAACUGGAAUUCUCGGUGUAGCGGUGAAAUGCGUAGAUAUCGAGAGGAACACCCGUGGCGAAGGCGGUUCUCUGGGACGGUACUGACGCUGAGACGCGAAAGCGUGGGGAGCGAACAGG
rnacentral:rRNA from 1 species